UACGUAGGGGGCUAGCGUUGUCCGGAAUCAUUGGGCGUAAAGCGCGUGUAGGCGGUCCGGUAAGUCCGCUGUGAAAGUCGGGGGCUCAACCCUCGGAUGCCGGUGGAUACUGUCGGGCUUGAGUACGGAAGAGGCGAGUGGAAUUCCUGGUGUAGCGGUGAAAUGCGCAGAUAUCAAGAGGAACACCUGCGGCGAAGGCGGGUUGCUGGGCUGACACUGACGCUGAAGUGCGAAAGCUAGGGGAGCGAACGGG
rnacentral:rRNA from 1 species